AUUGAUUUAGUGGUGAUGCUAUCUUGAUUUUCUUUUUUUUAUCAUAUAGACGAGGUUAUUGUAUAAUUGACGGUUUGAUGAUGAAAUAUAUCAUGUAGGUAAAAAACAUAAAGUUUAUUAUAAAUAGUAUGAAGAAAAUAUUAGAUAUGAUAUGAUCAUGGACAAUUCGAUAAGAUCAAUAAUAUAGAUAGAUCAUAGAAUGGAUGCAAUCAUAAUAAGCAGAAAAUGUCAUUCGCUUAGCCACGUUAAAUCAUUCAUUUGAUAGUUGCGAGACUUGAAGCUUAGAGAUAUGUAUUUUUGUAUGUGCUCGUGCAUUGCAUGUAUAGAAAACUAAUAUCGUGUGAUUAAUUAGUUAUUACCUCUCAAUUGGUCCAAACAAUUUGGGUUUGUUGUGAUGCCUCACGAGUUUAUCCACCCUUUGAACAAUUCUAAUAAAAUCCUUUGACUAAUUGUUAAUGUCAAGGUUUUCCCAAGAGAUAUCAAUAAGGAGGAUUAAUAAAAUCCUUGCUCGAUAUUAAGGGGGACGACUCUCAUUGUCAAUUUGGUUGAUGACUAAAAUGACCUGUCUAUAUUUUCCCUUCUUUACAAAAUUCUUUCCUGAUUUAUUUAUUUAAAGAAUAGAGAAAUUAUAUUAAAAAAAAUAUAUUAGUGAAUAAUUUAGAUAGAGGUUCAUAUGAGAAAGAAUAUGUAACACCCUUGAUUAAUCCCACAUCGAAAGUGGGUAACACCUCUGAUUAGUUCUACAUUGAAAGUGAGCAAGAUUAAGAUUAGCUUAUAAGAGUUUGAUGAACUUUCAAUAUGGGACUAAUCAGGGGUGUUAUAAUCACCCUCACUCAAAGGCUUGACAUCUUCGUAUCUAAUGGGCUAAUUGACCUAUCAAUUUCGUUUGGUCCAAACCAUUGACCAAAAUAUUGUAACACUUUCAAUGUGGGACUAAUCAAGGGUGUUACAGAAUAUUUUAUGAUGAUACGAGCAGGUGAUAAGAAAACCUGUAAAAAGAUGUUAGAUAAUUACCAUUAGUGAUAUGAAAAGAAAUAUGAGGAAACUUAAUUUCAUUAAGAGUAUGAUUUUUGAUGUAAUUGUUGGAGUUGGUUGUUUAAACAAACAGGAGGCCUGAUAAAAAAUUUUUAAUCAUCCGUGAUGUGCACAAUCAACACCGCACUUUAGUACAAAGCAAUGCGUGAAAACAAAGGUUGGGGUGUCUCUUAAUUGUGACUUGACCUGUGUUGGGUCACUUUUCGACGGACUUCUUUGAUCGAGCAAUUAAUUAAAUUAAAAGUGAAGGAAUCUUCUCUUUCUCUGUCUUCUUCCGUUGACAAUUAAACCAACCCACCACCAACUCUUGUGUAUUGCUGUCCCGUUCCGCCCAAGACAAAAUGCACCGGUUCUCAUUGCUUUAGGCCUUUAUGUUUAGCCUGUGACGCGAUGGCGUGGCAGCAGCACAACGGUAGUGACUCUCGUGGGAUCCACUGUCGCUUGCUCUAUGGGAAAGCAGAGGGGUCGAGGAAUUCCACGAACCAGAAUGGCCAGGACGUGUACAUUAUGGCGUAAAAUUAAAGCCAGCACGUGGGAUGGCAUGGGAUGAUUAAUAACUGGUAGGGUAAGAUAUAUGUACUCUAGCAUAUAGAUAUAUGUUCCACCAUAAAUGCCUUUCUUUAACAACAUAAAAUGCACAGAAUGUAACUUGAGGUGAAAAAAAACACCUUCUAAUAGGAGCAACCAAGAAAUCCACGAAGCUUGACGGUUCAG
rnacentral:lncRNA from 1 species